rnacentral:sRNA from 1 species
GAUCAUUGACAUACUGACAAGGCUAAAAAAACAAAGAGAUAACUAACGUAGAGAGGCUUCAAGCCCUCUACAAGUGACUAACAAUAUAGCUUGCAGUCUUAGACCUAUCGUGCUAAGAGCUGAACGGCUAACGACCGCCCCCCGCCCAUCGUAAAGGGCUUGCAAGCAC